rnacentral:rRNA from 1 species
GACGAACGCUGGCGGCGUGCCUAAUACAUGCAAGUCGAACGCAGUGGGGACGGGUAAGUAACACGUGGGUAACCUCCCAUCAGAGGGGAUAACACUUGGAAACAGGUGCUAAACCGAUACUGAUGGAUGGACCCGCGGUGCAUUAGCUAGUUGGUGAGGUAACGGCUCACCAAGUCUAAGAUGCAUAGCGGGCCUGAGAGGGUGAUCAGCCACACUGGGACGGAGACACGGCCCAGACUCCUACGGGAGGCAGCAGUGGGGAAUCUUCGGCAAUGGACGAAAGUCUGACCGAGCAACGCCGCGUGAGUGAAGAAGGUUUUCGGAUCGUAAAGCUCUGUUGUUGGAGAGGCGGUAUCUAACCAGAAAGCCACGGCUAACUACGUGCCAGCAGCCGCGGUAAUAC